rnacentral:rRNA from 1 species
AACGAACGCUGGCGGCGUGCCUAACACAUGCAAGUCGAGCGCGAAUGGGGCAACCCUAGUAGAGCGGCGCACGGGUGCGUAACACGUGGGUAAUCUGCCUCAAAGACUGGGAUAACCUGCCGAAAGGCUGGCUAAUACCAGAUAAGCCUACGGACUCUUCGGAGACUGAAGGAAAAGAUGGCCUCUGUAUACAAGCUAUCACUUUGAGAUGAGCCCGCGGCCCANCAGCUAGUUGGCGGGGUAACGGCCCACCAAGGCAACGACGGGUAGCUGGUCUGAGAGGACGAUCAGCCACACUGGAACUGAGACACGGUCCAGACUCCUACGGGAGGCAGCAGUGGGGAAUUUUGCACAAUGGGCGAAAGCCUGAUGCAGCAACGCCGC